UACGGCCAUAUCAUGGUGAAACACAGGUUCUCGUACAAUUACCGACGUUAAGCAAGGUCGAUCCUGGUCAGUACCUGGAUGGGUAACUACUUGAGAAUAACAGGUGUU